rnacentral:tRNA from 1 species
CAUAUUAUGCCAGAGGUUAAUGGGCCGCUUUGAUGUGGCGGUUACGAGUAAAGUUGCUCUAAUAUGA